rnacentral:rRNA from 1 species
UGGGGAAUAUUGGACAAUGGGGGCAACCCUGAUCCAGCAAUGCCGCGUGUGUGAAGAAGGUCUUCGGAUUGUAAAGCACUUUCGACGGGGACGAUGAUGACGGUACCCGUAGAAGAAGCCCCGGCUAACUUCGUGCCAGCAGCCGCGGUAAUACGAAGGGGGCUAGCGUUGCUCGGAAUGACUGGGCGUAAAGGGCGUGUAGGCGGUUUACACAGUCAGAUGUGAAAUCCCCGGGCUUAACCUGGGAGCUGCAUUUGAUACGUGUAGACUAGAGUGUGAGAGAGGGUUGUGGAAUUCCCAGUGUAGAGGUGAAAUUCGUAGAUAUUGGGAAGAACACCGGUGGCGAAGGCGGCAACCUGGCUCAUGACUGACGCUGAGGCGCGAAAGCGUGGGGAGCAAACAGGUUAGAUACCCUGGUAGUCCACGCCUGUAAACGAUGUGUGCUAGAUGUUGGG